rnacentral:lncRNA from 1 species
GAAAAUCUUGGAAUUUAAUGCAUUAAGGAAACUGCCAAAAAUGCCAAAUUCCGGAACUGCCUUUGCCUUAUGCGUGUAAAUAUAUCAUGUAACAACGAUAGCCGACUUUGUUGAUUGAAAUCUUUAAGUUCAGCAUCCUCAAAUUCAGCUGCAGAUUCUCUUCUUUUUCCAAUUCUGUAGUGUGUGUAAUGUACGUAAAAAAUCAGCCCAACUUUUGACUAAACCAGAUUUCAAUUCCAGCCUUUUAACUCCCUAAUUUCAGCCCCUAUAUAUAUAUAUAUAUAUAUAUAUAUAUAUUAUAAUUCAGCCAAAAGGCAGCCUCCAAUGUGUGUAAAUAUAUAUAAUAAUGGCUGACUCUUCCUUUUAAUUCCUCCAAGCUGUUCCACGUUUGUUUUCCUUCCACAACCCACUUGAGACUUUAUUUAUUUUUUUUUUGGCCGGUUAUCAACGUCAAUCUCGACCUUAGGCAUGCCAACUUCAACCACUUUGAAUUCCAUAGGUUGAUUAUGAAAUUGAUUGACUUUAUUAUCCCCAAUAGGCGCCCAACUUAGCUCGAAUCUUAGUCUCGAUCUCUUGUCAACAUUUGCCAAGUUAUUAAAAUUUUGGCGCCUAGCCGGCCGGAUCAUAUCAUUCUCUCUCUCUUCGAAAGGAUUCAACCUUGAAUCCAAACCUUGAAUGCCAAGAUUAUAACCCUUGCUUCCAAUCAAUUCAAGAAUAUGAUAUGGUCUGUCUCCCCUCAGAUGCAAGUUGGACCGCUUUUGAGCUCGAACCCUUCUCUUGCAUAUGUAAAUCCAAUCUCCUUUACAUGGAUAAAAAUGUGUAUUUUUUGACGGCUUCCUCUUGCCAUUUUGUGAUGAUCCAAUAAUGAUUUCAGCUAAUGAAUCACCGUUCAUUUUCCAUGAUUUACUUGGCCCAGUGAUUGAAGUAACGACAAUUCAAAUGAUGCAUAUUUCCGCACACAUGGUCUUUGUAGCUCAACUCCUUACAUUCAUGUUCCCUCCAUUGACUUUGAAAAUCCUUCGUCUUCUCAGAAAUCACAAAGUCAACCUCUGGUAAUAUAGUGAUGUCCAAAUGAUGCUGUCGUUGAUUAGUUUCAUCCAUACAUUGAUGAUUGAUUCUCGGGUCGUAAGGGAUUCCAAUAUGAUUAAUUUCUGGAAUCGAAUCUUCAUUGACUUGCAAAACAAAAUUACCAAAAAUAGGGAGGGAAAUGUUAGUGUUUGGCAACGCCUCCUCAACUCCACUCUCCUUUUCAUUUAAGCCCACUUUCGACUCUUUUUCCAUCUCCGAAGACUCUUCUUCAUUUUCACCCCGUAACUCCAAUUCCAUUUUUUCAUUUUCACUCUCGACUUUCUUUUCACUUCCCCAUGGCUUUACACCCUUUUUCUCACAAUCAACAACCUCACUAUUUUUACAUUUACUCCCUCGCUCCUUCAAAUGAUCAAUUUGAGAUUUAACCUUGUCACGAAGCCUUGUUACUUCUGAUUUAGAAUCCCGACUUGCCAACUCACUUGAUGUACUACACACAUGCUUCGCACUAGGUGUUUUCUUCUCCCUUGGAUACUCAACCCCAUAAGAUCUUCUAGGCAUCUCCCUAAAUUCCUGCUCACGCGAAUCACUCCUAUAAUAAUAAUUAGGCACGUAUCGUCUUCUCAUAAUAUGUCUCAACUCAUCCCAAGUUUCAAUACGCCUCUCACCAUACCUUUGCCUAGAUGUUGUCAACUCAUCCCACCAGAUUAAAGCAUAAUCCACAAAUGAGCUCACAACCAAUUUCAACUUUUUCUCCAUGGAAUAAUUAUACGCUCAAACAUUAAUUCAAUCUUCUCUUCCCACGCCACGUACGCCUCUGGAUCUUUCCUACCUUUAAAUUGCGGAAUUGUCAUUUUUAUACUUCUAUCUACACCAAAUCCAAAAUAACUUCUAUCCCGUUCUCCAAACGUAUCGCCUCUAUUUUUCAUACCCCGUAAAUCAACAUCAAACAAUGCAUCAUCAUCAAGACCACAACUAGACUCAUAUGCAUCACAAUUUUUCAUCCUAGGUUCCCGUCUCCUCACAUUGAACCCCUCAUCACAUUGAUCCCUAUGAAUAUUUUUCAAUUUCACAUCCAAUCUAUCCGACUUAUUUUUCAUAUUCUCAACCAUCAUCUCAAACCUCCGAAUCAUCAUUUCCGACAUUUUUUUGACACACUUUUUUCACUCUUUUUUCGACUCUUUUUUUUUCUUUUCUUUUUGGCUUUUUUUCUACUCUUUUUCUGACUCUUUUUUUACUUUUAUUUUGACUCUUUUUCUGAGUCUUUUUUUUAUACCAACUUUUUUCUUAAUGGAUCAAAGACUCAAAUAAUUGAAAAACUACAAGAACACAACGAACAAUGAAAAACACGGAAGACAAAAAGAUUCAACAAAACAAUAAAAAGGUGUAACCUCGAUCUUGGUGUCUUAUUUCUGAUACCAAAUUAUGCGAACCUGAUUAACGCGGUCGCUAUCGAACCCACAGGAAUUGACACCAGAUCCCCAAGAACUCCCAAAUACAACCAAGGUUUAGGAAUCGACCAAAAAGUGAACUAAGCAACCGAACAUAUAUGAAACGAACGACCUCUUAAUCACACAAUCUUGAAAUCUCCCUUAGAUUUGUGGAUUUGAAUUCCGAAAUAGCAAAUUAAGCAACCAAAGGUUUAUUAAACCAAUGACCUCUUAAUUAUACAAUUACGAAAAUUGCACCCGAUAUUUUGAAUGUCACAAGAUUUAUUAAACCUUGAUAAGUUCAAUAAAACCCGUAAAUGAACAAAGGUAAUUUUGAAGCAAAAGCUUUGGAAGAAAAUUCUUCAAUAAUUC